GGUGAGGUGGCCGAGAGGCUGAAGGCGCUCCCCUGCUAAGGGAGUAUACGGUCAAAGCUGUAUCGAGGGUUCGAAUCCCUCCCUCACCGCCA
rnacentral:tRNA from 1 species